rnacentral:rRNA from 1 species
AUGCGUAGACAAAAGAGGCUUCUGCUUGUUCGCUCGGGGUUGGAGAGGAAAAUAUCUUCUCUCGUUUCCUUCCCUACGCACGCGAUCCCUGUCUCUCUCUUUCCUUUCCUCUCCUCCAACCCCCGUCCCUUUCCUGCUGCUCCGCCGCCGGCUCUUUCUCCGCCAAGUCCACCGCGCGCCGCCCGUGCCCAUGCCCUCCUCACCUCCCGUCCCGAGCUCCAUCUCCCCCAGCCUCGUAUACCCCGAUCUUCUCGAUCCGAUUUGGAUCUCAGGAGCACACAGGAGGGGAGGCGAGGUGCCUGCGCCGGCGGCAAGGGUGCGUGGGUGCGGCUGAUGUCCACGUCCGCGGCCUCGCAGGCCAAGGACGCGGCGGCCAAGGCGGCCAAGGGCGACAGGGAGAAGAAGGAGGUGGCGAUUACGUCAAGGACGCUCUUCGCUUGCUCUGCUCUGCUCUGGUUUUCCCGUUUCGAUUACGUCACCGGCGAGGGGUCGCCAGAUCGUAGUCCAUGGAAGAUGUUCGAGUGGCAGGGUGGCCCCAUCAUCCUCGCCCAGGUGGAGACGGGUACAUGGAGUAGGCGAUGGGCGGCGGCGCCGAGCCGUACACCAACUGGGCCACCAAGAUGGUCGUCGCCACUGACACCAGCGUGCCGUGGGUGA